UUUGCUGACGAGUGGCGGACGGGUGAGUAAUGUCUGGGAAACUGCCUGAUGGAGGGGGAUAACUACUGGAAACGGUAGCUAAUACCGCAUAACGUCGCAAGACCAAAGAGGGGGACCUUCGGGCCUCUUGCCAUCGGAUGUGCCCAGAUGGGAUUAGCUAGUAGGUGGGGUAACGGCUCACCUAGGCGACGAUCCCUAGCUGGUCUGAGAGGAUGACCAGCCACACUGGAACUGAGACACGGUCCAGACUCCCACGGGAGGCAGCAGUGGGGAAUAUUGCACAAUGGGCGCAAGCCUGAUGCAGCCAUGCCGCGUGUAUGAAGAAGGCCUUCGGGUUGUAAAGUACUUUCAGCGGGGAGGAAGGGAGUAAAGUUAAUACCUUUGCUCAUUGACGUUACCCGCAGAAGAAGCACCGGCUAACUCCGUGCCAGCAGCCGCGGUAAUACGGAGGGUGCAAGCGUUAAUCGGAAUUACUGGGCGUAAAGCGCACGCAGGCGGUUUGUUAAGUCAGAUGUGAAAUCCCCGGGCUCAACCUGGGAACUGCAUCUGAUACUGGCAAGCUUGAGUCUCGUAGAGGGGGGUAGAAUUCCAGGUGUAGCGGU
rnacentral:rRNA from 1 species